AUUAUGUCUGUGGAGAUUCUCAGUCAUCCAGGUCAUAUUCACUCAAAGAGUUAAAGCAAGGCAAAUACAUAUACCUCAGGUAUAGAGGUAUAUAUAUUUGUUCCCCACCAAACAGUUUUCAGAACUGAUGAUGCUGCUUGGAUUAGCAGUGAAACGUCUUCAAGUCAAUCUUCACAAGUCCAGACGCCUUGCUUUAACUCUUUGAAGGGUUAGGACUAGGCACUCUAUUGUUAUGGUUAGAUGGGGGUUAAGUCUCCAGGAAAUUGAUGUCAGUCUGUGUAAUGUCCCCAGAAGUGUGUGCGUGUGUGUGAAAAAGAGUGAUUUCAUCAUUGCAUGAAGGUUUUCUUGUGAAUCAGAGUCACUAAAAUGUGCAUUUUUGUUUGUCAGGAGUUAAGUAAUUCAAGGAUUUUGUUUUAAUGAGGUCAUCAUUGUAAGAGACAAUAUUUUUUGCUGUAAAUUAAGGAAUUAGCAACAUUAAAUAGCUGUCCAGAUAAGGUUGACAAGCUGCAGAUGAUGUUUUUAAUUAUGAUAAGAGCAAUUUUUUUUCACAAUGAAUUAAUUUUCAUAGUUUUAGAGUGUUUAAACAUUCUCAUAAAAUACAUAAUUUUAUUGCUUUUGUUUUUCACCGCCUACAAAAACCUACACACACAACAUAUGAUUGUUAUAGCCUAUACUUGGCCCCUAUCCAAAAUUUGCCUGAUACGAGUGCCCUUGGCCUGCUUCUGUUGACAUGGCAUUGUUUUCUUCUCUUUAUCCUUGAGCACAAAGAUAACUUGUGAAAUUCCUGCUGGCUGCCUUUGGGGGCUUGGUGGUUCAGAGGACAGCUUGGGGACAGCUUGUGACGACAGUCAGGACAGGUUUUUAUUUUUUCUUUGACCAGCAGCAACAGCUUCUCUCCAUUCAGACUGUGGACCUCAGUGUGGACUCUCCUCCUGAGUACUACUUGUCUUCUGAUGAGGCUAUGACCAGGACAUGGUGAAAUAAUGGAAAGCUCGGUCUUGGAGGACCUUGCCCCUGAAUACACCCAGUACACCUUUUCUGCUGUCAGUCAGACGUCUUUGCCAAGUCUGCCUCUUUUCUGUGCUCCUGGUGGCCCUCCCUCAUUUGGCUUUGAAAAGAAGGUGCUUGUUGCCAGAGAAAGACUGACCUCCUCUGCUGAUAUGAAGAGGAUCCUGUUGGGGAAGCCCUUUCUGCAGAUCCUAAUACCUUCCAGCACACCGUUACAGCGUAGCUGGUGCAUCACCAGAGGAUUCUCCAUGGCCCCAGGAGUCUUGGUCUCAUUGGGGAUGAUGCAGCGUACAAAGUGAGGGACGGGCCAUGUGAGAUCAAGGUCAGCAUGCAGUGCUAGACAAGAGUCAAGCUGAUGUCCACCCCUCACUUGGCUCUGUCUGCCGGUGUAGCAUCAGUUCAUCCUACUACUGCUGAAGACUGAGUGGAGCAUUUGUGGGGUUGGGCACUGGUGCUGGACAGAGGAUCCUGGCUCACAAUCUCCAUUCUGGUUUGUCCCAGGGGUAUUCAAUGGGGUUUAGUCAGUUGUGUUUGUCCCCACCGGUCACAUCAGGCCAUGUCUUUGUGGAUCUUGAUUUGUGUGAGUGAGUUGUGAGUUGUACUAAAGUGAUUGGGCUGUUGCUGCGAAGGUUAAAGCAUAGAACUGCCCAAAAUGUCUUGGUAUGGUGAAGUCUUAGUAUGUCCCUUUAGUGGAAAUAAGGGUCCUAGGCCAACACCCGAAAAACAGCCCUAUACGAUGCCUGAAUACAGUAAUGAAGAGGCCAAUACUUUUGUCUAUAUAGGGUAUCAUAAUGCUAGAUUCAGUUUUAGAAGGUUUACAAAAAAAUAAAGCUAAGAUUUUUUAUUCCCUGAACAUAUGAUUGAAAUCCCUACUUUAAAUCUAGACAUAACUGUCUCUGCAGAGGCAGAACUGGAAAAAAACAUACAACAUAGUGCAAUAAUAAUACAAAUACUACAGUCUGACAAACAAGUAAUAACAUUAUUAGGAUUCAGGGGUGCAUUGACAGUAAAAACAAAAAAAUAAAGAAAGAAAGAAAGAAAGAAAGAAAAUAUGUGUGUAAGAUGGUUGCAAACACUCCUGCAACAUUAAAAAAUCUAAGACCAGUUCAGAAUGUCAGCACAAGGUGGCAGAAGUGACAUAAACAUCAAUAGCACUCCAUUUGUGACCCUCUUCAGGAAGUGAACAAAUGAGCUUUAUGUCGCACACAUACUGUUACUAUGGCAACUUUUUGUCCUCAGACAAAUGUGUGUCUGCAUGUGUGCGUGUUUUCCGUUCCUUCUGUGUUUUCUAAUGCUUUAACUUUAAUCCAUUUAUCAACCGGGUGCUAUUUUUCACUGAUGAUAAAGUACAAGCUGAUGAGUUUAACAUGACAAAUCUCCUCUUUGCCUGAAAUAAAUGAGGAUUCUACACAUGUAUUUGAAUGCACUUUGCUUUAUUUGUUUUGCUUUAUAGUUACAGUACUUUGAAGACAAAUGGGGCUACAGCACGAGAGAUCCCAAAGGUCUUAGGUGGCCGUCUGUGAGUUUCACUCCUCAUCUAGCCCUUUCUGUGUUGAAGAAUAAGAGAGUAAAUGAAGAGAUAUGGAUUAGUGACAGAGGACCAACAAGACUCAACAAGUGGUACACAAAGUAGUACACCAAAACUUCUGAACUGUGGCAAAUUAUUCAUUUGUUACAAAUCACUAACUUGUCACAUUCAAGAUGUGACAAGUUAUUUAUGAAUAAUGUUUGUUUUACUCUCAGCAUUCCUUUACUGUAUGUGUAUUAUUGGCUUGAACACAAAUCAUUUGAAAUGUUUCAGAAUUCAGGUUGAUUGCAGGUUGUAGGAUUCUUCGAAUCUAAACAACAGCUAAGAUGUUUUAAAAAUCAUGUAAAAGCUAAAAAUUAAGUCUCAAGCCAUUUUUUAAUACCAUGAAAAUUGUGAUUCCAAGCUUGAGUUCAGUGGAAAUCAUUACAUUUUUAAUUCAUUUUAAAACCUUUAAACCAUUUAAGAAAAAUGUGGGCUAACACAGUCAACAUUAGCAUGAUCCACUUACUGCUUACAGGCUGACUGACAGUAGAGACUGUCCACACACUGUGACAUACAGUACCCAAAUUAAGUUCUCCUCUAAGAUCAUCAAAGAAAAGCAAUUGUUUUUUGUCUUUGUUUGGAAUAAUAUUUAUUAUUUAUUCUGUACAUUUUGCUGAUUCAGUGGCAGCCUGGUUGCCUGGAGGUUAAGGUGUUAACCAUUAGCAAGUCUGUCCAUGGAGGGAACUUCUGUUGCAUGUUGUUCCCCAACUAUUUCACCCUACAUUUUCUGUCAUAUUCUUAUUGCCUUCUCACUAAUAACAGCAUGAAAUCCCCCGCAAAAUAAAAAAUAUAUUAAAUAAGAAUUUACAACUUUUUGUAGCUGGCAAUUGAAUUGUCAGUGUGCCUUCUGUGUGACAAAAAUUAUAUUACUACUAACAUAUUAACUUACAGUAAUACAACUUACUAAAUCCAUAACAAUAAAACACAAUAAAAUUCAUCUUACAAACA